CAUGCAGGCGGUCGGACGCGUUUUGUGUGACAGCGGGUGGCUUAACUACCCGAGUAUGCGAAAGACGGUCUGACUUGAGGGCUCGAGAGGGACACGGAAUUCCGGGUGGAGUGGUGAAAUGCGUAGAGAUCCGGAGGAACACCGAGGGCGAAGGCAGUGUCCUGGCGAGUGACUGACGCUGAGGUGCGAAAGCUAGGGGAGCGAACGGGAUUAGAUACCCCGGUAGUCCUAGCCGUAAACGAUGACCACCAGGUGUGGGAGGUAUCGACCCCUUCCGUGCCGGAGGAAACCCACUAAGUGGUCCGCCUGGGGAGUACGGUCGCAAGAUUAAA
rnacentral:rRNA from 1 species